rnacentral:rRNA from 1 species
AACGAACGCUGGCGGCAUGCCUAACACAUGCAAGUCGAACGAUAACUUCGGGUCUAGUGGCGCAGGGGUGCGUGAGGCGUGGGAACCUGCCCUUAAGUUCGGUAUAACUCCCCGAAAGGGGUGCUAAUCCCGGAUAAUGUCUUCGAACAAAAGAUUUAUCGCCUUUGGAUGGGCCCGCGUGUGAUUAGCUAGUUGGUAGGGUGAAAGCCUGCCACGGCGACGAUCGGUAGCUGGUCUGAGAGGAUGAUCAGCCACACUGGGACUGAGACACGGCCCAGACUCCUACGGGAGGCAGCAGUGGGGAAUAUUGGACAAUGGGCGAAAGCCUGAUGCAGCAAUGCCGCGUGAGUGAUGAAGGCCUUAGGGUUGUAAAGCUCUUUUACCCGGGAGGAUAAUGACAGUACCGGGAGAAUAAGCUCCGGCUAACUCCGUG